AGAAAGAAAGAAAACCUACCCAUUGAGACAAAAAUCACACUAUAGAGUGGGGACUGGAAGGAGAAAGGAGUGUUGCAUGGUAUCAAGUUACGUGACAGAGGCACUGCCUCUGCUUCCAAACAGAAAUGCUCUGAGAAAUGCUCUCUCAUCUCAGUCCCAGUGAGUAAGCUCCAUCAUUGGAUUAAUCUGCUGCUUUAAAAAUGUAAGGAUUUGCCUUACAUUUUAAAAAAUGUAAGGAUUUGCCAUUCUUGAGAGCCUUGGUUUUCUCCACUUGCUGGCCUCUGGAAUCUGGGACAAAGACUCUUGUAGAACAACAACAACACCUCUACCACUGAUGGCAGACCAAGUUAGCAAGCACCUUGCCUCCUACUGUGCUAGGCGAUGCUUAUUGUUUGAUGAGGCUGUGAGACAGAUUAGAGGCCCCAGGUGGAAAGUCAUCAUAAUCUGCAUUUAAAUGGACCAGUUAUAAAAGGGGCAGAUCACUGUACUCAAAGUGACUUAAGAAGCAGUGCUGGAAUUUCAUUUGUUGAUUUUCCAGCUGAAAGGAGUAAGUUAAUUUUAAACUGCCCACUGAAGCUUUAAAACUCCUGUCCAGCCUUAUUAUUAGCAGCUUAAAAUUUAUGGGGUGAGACUCUACUUGCUGAUAGCCAUUUGGUGGUCAAGAAACUUGGUGUAAUUAGUGCCCAAACCAAGGGAAGAAAGCCCAAUUUAACACUUACAACAUCCAUUUCAAAGCAACCUUAAGGCCUGCUAGGAAAUAUUGAGGGGGCUAAAUUGUGUGGCUGAUUGGACUUAUGCUGGAGGGACCUGAGUUCAAAUUCAUGCUCUGUAAUCAAAUACAUGUUAGGCAGAUGGGAAGUGUAACAGUCUCUUGUAAUUUUUUUAUUGAAUGAAAAACAGUUAUGGCAGGCUGUGAUCAGAAAUAUGAAAUAACAACUAACAAGGACAACUGCAUUAGACUUCAUUUUACAGCUGGCUAGCUAGUGUCCACUUCAUAACUGGCCUCUUAAUUGUGUCCUAUGAAUGUACAUGGAUAGCUGAAAGUAUCCAUUGUGCAAGAUGAGAGAGCUGCAUCAUCACUUUUUUGUCAGCAAGCACAAUGGCACUGAGUUGGAUGUGCUGUGGUACAGCUAAAGGCUGAAGGUUAUUUUGGGUGGUGGUGUGAACUGGAAAGAAGACAAAGAAAGAAUGAAGGAAGAUGAGAGGAACAGGAUGUAUUAUUGAACAAUUGUAGCAUUACAUUUUGGGGUCACACCGGUGUCCCUUGGAUGCUAGCAUAUAUGAAGAAGCAAUCUGCAUGGAAGACAUUUGUACAUGAAAGCUGCUUGGGCAGGGCUUAUCACACCAGUGGUUCCAUCCAUGUGGUUGUAUCAUUCACAUGCAGCAUGACACAGUGACUCUUUUGAGGUUGAGCUUAGAACUGCCCUCACAGUAGAUCUGGGAUUGGAUGUGCUUAGUAGAAAGGAAUGGUGGUGAUAGUGUCACUACACCUGGCUGGGUGACCCCCUCUGACUCCUAUGUUUUCAGAUUCAUAUUGAUUCUGAAUCAAUGAUUAUUCUCUCCACUGAGUGCCAUAUAUAUGUUAGUAAAGGCAAACCAACAUUUAAAACCCCACAAGGUGGAAAGCCACAUCAGAGGAACCAUUUGCAAAGGAGAAAUGAGAAACAGAUGGAUGUCCUCUUGCACUGUUUGCUUCCACUUGAUUGCUACUCUACAACAAGUCUCUCUGGUUAGAAAGGAUAACUUGGGGCAAUGUUAUUUACAUAUGUGAUGUAAGAGAAGGCAAUGUUGAUCUAAGCCAGCUAUUGCACAGCACCUUUCAUUUUCCCCUUUCUCUAUUCCUCCACCUCUUUGCAGGGGGAAGGCCCCUGUCACCCUUAGAAGGACUUUUGGUGGUGGCUGAAUGUGAGAGAGACAGAUUUCUUUGGCAGCUGCUCCUCACCUGUGGAAGUACAUUCCAAGGGAGGCUAGCCCCCACCCCCAUUUUAUUGUCUUUUUGCUGGUAAGCAAAAAUAUUUUUAUUCAAGCUUUUGGCAAUUGACUGACUGCCAAGAAGGGGCUUUUAAGCAAUGAAGGGGACUGCACUAUGUUUCAAAAGACUGAUGCACUUUUUUGAUUAAAUUGUGUUUCAGUGUUACCAUUUUCUUAAUUGUACUUCUACAUUAUGCUUUUAUGUGUUUUUGUUUGUGCUGGGUUUUUUUUAAAGCUUGUUGUGAGCCAUCUUGAAUUCCAGUCAGGGGGAAAAGGCAUAAUGUAAAUCAGAUAAAUUAAUAAGGGCCUAACUUAUCCCUGCUUAACCCAUAAAUGGGACCCCACUACCAGAUUCUCCCCCUUCCCACUACCAAAGUAGGUAUAGUAGGGAUGGAAGGAAUAUAAAGCAAUAUUGGUUUCUUGCCCCCCCCCCCCACUGGAAAAAGCGGCCACCUGAAUUGGCGGGCAGGCCACUUUGCCGCCUAGAGCGGCAGCAACGCACCCCAGAAUCCCUCUGGGGCAAAUCCUCUGCCCUGAUUGGUGUGCGGAGCGGAAGGGGAGGCCCUUCUGUUCCGCGACACUCUAGGUGGGCGGAGGAAGGCUCUAUGACCGGGAGAUCCGGUCCUCCAGCUUGGUGUCAAGUGGUUAUUUGCGGCAGCCUCUAAGGCAAACUUGGCCAGGAUGAAUAAUAGCUGUGUCGUUUUUGCCUGGUUUUUGCUAAUCUGAAAAUGCUUUUGGAAAAUAUUCUUCACACAAAUAUAAAUGAUUUCUUUGCAUGAAAAUUGUGUAUCUGUUGAAAAAUACUUUUUGUAUGCAAAAAAUACUCCAAACCCAUGUAUUUUUGCACAUGAUUGCUGGUGUUUUCUUUUUCUUUUCUUUUUUUACAUGAAAAGCUAAAACUAAAGCUAGAAUUUAUUUGAUAGCAGAGAAACAAGAUAUGAAUAAUGAAAUGGAAGUCAUGAAGGAUUAUGUAGAAGCAAAAUACAGAGGGUAGGAAGAUUUACUGUAAAGUUAUCUGUAAAUAGUUUGUUUAAAUUUUAUGCACAAUUUUAAGAUAAUGUAAUGAACAUAGUAACAACAGCAGCAACAACAACAGAAUACUGACAUCUCUACAUCUGUGAUGUGGACAGGGAUGGGAAGAAAUCAUGAGGUUCUCUUGAGGUUUUAUUUUUAUUCCUCUAUCAAAACCUCAAGAUCCACUAAUUGUAGUGAGGUGCAAAAUAAUGUCUAAAGCAGGCAUAUUCUUAUUAGGACUGAUGAACUUGGAUGUUCUAUGGAUAUGGCUCAAGUUCAAGACUCUGCUGCCUAUAUCAUAACUGAGUGUAAGUGUAGAGAUUAGAAGAUUUGUAUACCUC